UCGGUGGCGGUUGGCAAUUAAAUCAAAUGUGCAGUCUAUGCGCGUGCGCAGAACUCCGACUCCUCCCACCAAGUUUUCAACCAGUUUGCAUCUGGAUCAGUUCAUCCAUUGGCUGGUUAAUUGUUUUGGCGCGAUUUACAUGAUCACGACAGCUUCUCGCGUCAUCUGAUUGGUUGAUUUGAGUCAGGUUCACGGGAUACUUUGGAUUCGAAAACUAUAUUCCCGCCCAGGAUUCUUCUCGUCUCUUCUUCAACGGCUGUUUUUAGAAGUCCUCCAAUCCACCAUCAGCGAGACCGAACUCCUCCAGUCCAGCUACAGAUAAGCUGCUGACCCAUUUCAGAGGAGGAACAUUGGCCAUGACCCAAAAGGACCACUAAAUCCUCAACUUUUUCUUGACACUUCUGCGGUGAGAAAAAUUCCCUAACAAAAAAAACGGUCAUAUCCAGAGAUGGCUUCAGCUUGCUCCGGAUUGGGAUGGAGGAAGAAGAGAACGGCUGAAGAGAAAGGAGAUGAUAAAUAGCUGUGCCUCUCAUUUAGAGCCUCAAUAGCUUAUGCGUGCGAACACAUACGAAAUACAUUCAUUUCCUUUUCAUGUGCACACACGCAGUUAUGUGUUAUGUUGUUUAUAAAGUUUAAUUUUGUCUUUCUUUGGUUUAUAACGUUUUCAUUUAGUCCGUAUUCGGUUUCAUUUUUUCAAGUGUUAAGGUACUGUUCAUUUAAAGUCUAAAGGUUUCCGUUUUACAUAAAAAUAUGUUCAACACAAUGUGUUCACUUUAUUUUUAUUUGUAAAUAAAAAAAGGUUAUUGAAAAACAA